rnacentral:rRNA from 1 species
UACGGGGGGGGCAAGCGUUGUUCGGAAUUACUGGGCGUAAAGGGCUCGUAGGCGGCCAACUAAGUCAAACGUGAAAUCCCUCGGCUUAACCGGGGAACUGCGCUUGAUACUGGAUGGCUUGAGAUUGGGAGAGGGAUGCGGAAUUCCAGGUGUAGCGGUGAAAUGCGUAGAUAUCAGGAGGAACACCGGUGGUGUAGACGGCUUACUGGACCACGACUGACACUGAGGCACGAAAGCGUGGGUAGCAAACAGG